AUUGAACGCUGGCGGUAUGCUUAACACAUGCAAGUCGAACGGAAACGAAGGUAGCUUGCUAUCUGGCGUCGAGUGGCGGACGGGUGAGUAAUGCAUGGGAAUUUGCCUAUUAAUGGGGGACAACAGUUGGAAACGACUGCUAAUACCGCAUACGCUCUUAGGAGGAAAGCAGGGGAUCUUCGGACCUUGCGUUAAUAGAUGAGCCCAUGUCGGAUUAGCUAGUUGGUGGGGUAAGAGCUCACCAAGGCGACGAUCCGUAGCUGGUUUGAGAGGAUGAUCAGCCACAUCGGGACUGAGACACGGCCCGAACUCCUACGGGAGGCAGCAGUGGGGAAUAUUGGACAAUGGAGGGAACUCUGAUCCAGCAAUACCGCGUGUGUGAAGAAGGCCUUAGGGUUGUAAAGCACUUUCGUUGGUGAGGAAACGGUAGAGAUUAAUACUCUCUGCAAUUGACGUUAACCAAAUAAGAAGCACCGGCUAACUCCG
rnacentral:rRNA from 1 species